GAUGAACGCUGGCGGCGUGCCUAAUACAUGCAAGUCGAGCGAACAGACGAGGAGCUUGCUCCUCUGACGUUAGCGGCGGACGGGUGAGUAACACGUGGAUAACCUACCUAUAAGACUGGGAUAACUUCGGGAAACCGGAGCUAAUACCGGAUAAUAUAUUGAACCGCAUGGUUCAAUAGUGAAAGACGGUUUUGCUGUCACUUAUAGAUGGAUCCGCGCCGCAUUAGCUAGUUGGUAAGGUAACGGCUUACCAAGGCAACGAUGCGUAGCCGACCUGAGAGGGUGAUGGGCCACACUGGAACUGAGACACGGUCCAGACUCCUACGGGAGGCAGAAGUAGGGAAUCUUCCGCAAAGGGCGAAAGCCUGACGGAGCAACGCCGCGUGAGUGAUGAAGGUCUUCGGAUCGUAAAACUCUGUUAUUAGGGAAGAACAAAUGUGUAAGUAACUAUGCACGUCUUGACGGUACCUAAUCAGAAAGCCACGGCUAACUACGUG
rnacentral:rRNA from 1 species